AGAGUUGUCGUUGGGAGUCGCACAUGUCAAUGUCUGGAGGUCAGUUAUGUGUCGUAUUGUCGCGGCGGUCUUUGAGUAACUCUACUCUCGUGAAGUCUGAAGUCGUACUAGUGGCAACUUUCCAGUCAGUUAGAAACUGUUAUGUUGGUAUGUUUGUGUUUAUGGACCAUUCUUUUCAAGAAUGAUCAUUUGUUGUCCUGUCACAUUCCAGUGGUAUGCUAGGUUGGUUUCUUUGAGUAAGGUCAGUAAGAUGUUU
rnacentral:misc_RNA from 1 species